rnacentral:lncRNA from 1 species
AUGAGUCAUAUUUUUCUGUUCUGUUUUUCCUGGGAUAGCUGCUGGGAGCAGAGGCUUUCAAGAGGGACCAUAAUGCCGUGUUUUCUGGAAGCAUCCAGAGACGUUGGAGAGUUGGAGCAAAACCAAAAUUACUGGUUCCUUGAAGAUUCUUUUCUUCCUUAGCAAAUGGUUCUGAUCAGGCUUUUAGCAACUAAGGUACUGGAAACAAUUUUGUGUAAAUGUCUUUGCUACUAGAUUCUCCACAAAUCAAAUGCAUUCUUGGAGCUGAAAUGAAAUAACAAAAGGGAGGACAGUGUGGCAAGUUGGGAAAACCAUCUGUUUCAUCACAGGAAUUGAUUGAACUUGAUACAC